CUCUCCACCGUCUUCUUGGCCCGCUUCCCCUGGAGGACGUCGCCCCCCCCGGCUGCAGCAGAGCAGACGUUCAGCAGCAGGUACGCAGGGUAGAAUGACAGGACCGGCUGCAGAACCCAGUUCUCCCGUUGGCGGGUCAGUUAAGGCGGAACCUUAAACACCUCUGAUCCGGACCCAGAAGACACGGAUGUAAAGAACUGGAGGAUUUAGACGGAUCAGUCGUGAUUUUCACUAACAUCAGUCCGGACGAUCCUUUAUUCCAGGAUCCGUAGUUUUAGGAGGACGAACUCUGCAGUCCGGACCAUCGUUGAUGUUUUUAUGCAUUAAAGUUCAUCUGUUGAUCCGA